GCCUCUGUAGUAUAAUGGAUAGAACAAGAGCCUUCGAAGCUUUUGAUAUGGGUUCGAUUCCCAUCAGAGGUA